CCUACGGGGGGCUGCAGUGGGGAAUAUUGGACAAUGGGCGAAAGCCUGAUCCAGCCAUGCCGCGUGUGUGAAGAAGGCCUUCGGGUUGUAAAGCACUUUCAGUGGGGAAGAAAGCCUUGGGGCUAAUACCCUCGAGGAAGGACAUCACCCACAGAAGAAGCACCGGCUAACUCCGUGCCAGCAGCCGCGGUAAUACGGAGGGUGCGAGCGUUAAUCGGAAUUACUGGGCGUAAAGCGCGCGUAGGCGGUCUGAUAAGCCGGUUGUGAAAGCCCCGGGCUCAACCUGGGAACGGCAUCCGGAACUGUCAGGCUAGAGUGCAGGAGAGGAAGGUAGAAUUCCCGGUGUAGCGGUGAAAGGCGUAGAGAUCGGGAGGAAUACCAGUGGCGAAGGCGGCCUUCUGGACUGACACUGACGCUGAGGUGCGAAAGCGUGGGUAGCAAACAGGAUUAGAUACCCCAGUAGUC
rnacentral:rRNA from 1 species